CAAGUCGAACGGCAGCACGGGGGCAACCCUGGUGGCGAGUGGCAAACGGGUGAAUAAUACCUCGAGAACGUGUCCUGGAGUGGGAGAUAUCCCGGCGAAGACCGGAUUAAUACCGCAUACGCUCUGUGGAGGAAAGCGGGGGAUCUUCAGACCUCGCGCUCGAAGGGCGGCAGAUGGCAUAUUAUCUAUUUGGUGGGGUAAACGCCUCCCAGCGUCACUAUCUGUCUCGGGUCAGAGAAGAACACCACCCACUCUGGGACUGACACACGGCCCACACUCCUACGGGAGGCAGCUGUGGGGAAUUUUGGACUAUGGGGGCAACCCUGAUCCAGCUAUGCCGCGUGUGUGAAGAGCGCCUUCGGGUUGUAACGCACUUUUGUCGGGAAAGAAAGCCUCUUGGUUAAUACCUGACGGGGAUGACGGUACCAGAAGAAUACGCACCGGCUAUCUACGUGCCCGCACCCGCGGU
rnacentral:rRNA from 1 species